GUAGGUGGCAAGCGUUGUCCGGAAUUAUUGGGGCGUAAAGCGCGCGCAGGCGGUUCUUUAAGUCUGAUGUGAAAGCCCACGGGCUCAACCGUGGAGGGUCAUUGGAAACUGGAGAACUUGAGUACAGAAGAGGAAAGCGGAAUUCCACGUGUAGCGGUGAAAUGCGUAGAGAUGUGGAGGAACACCUGUGGCGAAGGCGGCUUUCUGGUCUGUAACUGACGCUGAGGCGCGAAAGCGUGGGGAGCAAACAGGAUUAGAUACCCUGGUAGUCCACGCCGUAAACGAUGAGUGCUAAGUGUUAGGGGGUUUCCGCCCCUUAGUGCUGCAGCUAACGCAUUAAGCACUCCGCCUGGGGAGUACGGCCGCAAAGGCUGA
rnacentral:rRNA from 1 species